rnacentral:rRNA from 1 species
GAGUUUGAUCCUGGCUCAGAACGAACGCUGGCGGCGUGCCUAACACAUGCAAGUCGAACGUGAUCCAGAGCUUGCUCUGGUGAAAGUGGCGCACGGGUGAGUAACGCGUGGAUAACCUACCCUGGUAUCCGGGAUAACAUUCCGAAAGGGGUGCUAAUACCGGAUAAGCCCACGGGCUCUUUGGAGCUUGCGGGAAAAGGUGGCCUCUAUUUAUAAGCUACUGUAUCAGGAUGGGUCCGCGUACCAUUAGCUAGCUGGCGGUGUAACGGACCACCAAGGCGACGAUGGUUAGCUGGUCUGAGAGGAUGAUCAGCCACACUGGAACUGAGACACGGUCCAGACUCCUACGGGAGGCAGCAGUGGGGAAUUUUGCGCAAUGGGGGAAACCCUGACGCAGCAACGCCGCGUGAGUGAUGAAGGCCUUUGGGUCGUAAAGCUCUGUCAGAGGGGAAGAAAUGAUAUAGUGCUAAUACCACUUUAUCUUGACGGUACCCUCAAAGGAAGCACCGGCUAACUCCGUGCCAGCAGCCGCGGUAAUAC